GCGUGGGUGAUGAAGGCCUUCGGGUUGUAAAGCCCUUUCGGCGGGGACGAUGAUGACGGUACCCGCAGAAGAAGCCCCGGCUAACUUCGUGCCAGCAGCCGCGGUAAUACGAAGGGGGCUAGCGUUGUUCGGAAUGACUGGGCGUAAAGGGCGCGUAGGCGGCUUUUUAAGUCAGGCGUGAAAGCCCCGGGCUCAACCUGGGAACGGCGCAUGAUACUGGAAGGCUAGAGGACGGGAGAGGAUGGUGGAAUUCCCAGUGUAGAGGUGAAAUUCGU
rnacentral:rRNA from 1 species